rnacentral:rRNA from 1 species
AUUGAACGCUGGCGGCAGGCCUAACACAUGCAAGUCGAACGGUAGCACAGAGAGCUUGCUCUCGGGUGACGAGUGGCGGACGGGUGAGUAAUGUCUGGGAAACUGCCCGAUGGAGGGGGAUAACUACUGGAAACGGUAGCUAAUACCGCAUAACGUCGCAAGACCAAAGUGGGGGACCUUCGGGCCUCACACCAUCGGAUGUGCCCAGAUGGGAUUAGCUAGUAGGUGGGGUAAUGGCUCACCUAGGCGACGAUCGCUAGCUGGUCUGAGAGGAUGACCAGCCACACUGGAACUGAGACACGGUCCAGACUCCUACGGGAGGCAGCAGUGGGGAAUAUUGCACAAUGGGCGCAAGCCUGAUGCAGCCAUGCCGCGUGUAUGAAGAGGGCCUUCGGGUUGUAAAGUACUUUCAGCGGGGAGGAAGGCGGUGAAGUUAAUAACUUCACCGAUUGACGUUACCCGCAGAAGAAGCACCGGCUAACUCCGUGCCAGCCGCCGCAGUAA